rnacentral:rRNA from 1 species
AUUGAACGCUGGCGGCAUGCUUUACACAUGCAAGUCGAGCGAGUGGCGAACGGGUGAGUAACGCAGCGGACCGUACCGAGUAAUGGGGGAUAACUGUCCGAAAGGAAAGCUAAUACCGCAUAGUAUUCGAUCGGCGGAGGUCGGAUUAGCUGGUGGGCGGGGGAAAGGCUCACCAAGGCGACGAUCAGUAGCGGGUCUGAGAGGAUGAUCCGCCACACUGGGACGGAGACACGGUCCAGACUCCUACGGGAGGCAGCAGUGGGGAAUUUUCGACAAUGGGCGAAAGCCUGAUGAAGCCAUGCCGCGUGUCUGAAGAAGGUCUUCGGGUUGUAAAGGACUGUUGUCAGGGAAGCGGUACCUGAAGAAUAAGCACCGGCUAACUACGUGCCAGCAGCCGCGGUAAUAC